GGCGAGGCCUGCUGAGCAAACUGCUUCCCUGUCAGCGCGGUGCCGUUCCCACCCCAGUUCUCGUGUGAAACAGUUGUGAGUAGCUGUGGAACCAGAAGGAACAGAACACAGGGCAGCGGGAUGAGGCAAAAGGCAGACCCGGAUCUGGGAGCAGCAUUCAGCCUGGCUAGAUGAGCCCUGGUUCUGCUGCCCUUGGGGCCUGGGGAGCAGCAGGUGGGAAGAAGAUGUGCUGGCAGCGGCUGCAUGGAUUCACAUGGAGGGAUAUGAUCUUCCCCACUCCCACCUUUCUAUCUUUCUCCACUGGAACUGGCUUUGAGGUCCACAUCGCUCCUGGAAAUACACUGCUGAGGUAUUCAGCAAAAAGCAGAGCAUCCAACCUAAUUCUUCUCUCCUCUGAAUGUUUCUGUUCUCUUAUGCUGCCUAAAUACAUUCAUACAACCUUACUCAAAUCUACCUCUACUGUGGCUCCCAGCUGCUUGCUUACAGCUGGUUUGCUGGUGAACUGAGACUUGCCCUUGUACAUAAGGACCAAAGCAAGGGAAGGUGUAGUAAAUGUCUAUUCCAUCUAUUGCAUUUGUGUUUUGCAACUAGUUAUUGCCUACACAAUUCUCAGAACAUCAAGCUUUCUAGACCAAGGAUUUUCUUUUCAUCCUUGUUUGUGUAGUUUCUAACACAAUGGAGUUCUAAUCCUUGUGUGUUGCAUUAUAAACCAACAAAUUAUUGUACCUUUUUGGUAGUAAAGAGAACAAACUAGACAGGAAGGAGAUUAAACUUUAUUUCUAAGGGCAGUACAGAGGAAAUGACUCAGAUGAACAUUCUGUGGUCUAAUGCACCUAAGUUUGCAGGUAGUAUAAAUGAUCUCUUACAGGUUCUUUGUCUUAAAGGAACACAGUACAUCCAAGGGAAAAAAAAAAAAAAAAAGCAUAGGCUUGGAGUAAGAAAUGGCCAGCAAAAGAAAGGAAGUCUCUUAUCUCAGCAAGAAUAAUCUUUGGAGAGCUGCAAAAAUUUGUGCCCAGAUCACUGCUAUUUCUAUUAGACAUGAAUUAAUCCAGACAAAUUUAGUGAUGUGAACUGGUUAAAAUGUUAAGACUGAAGUGUUUAGAGAGCAGAAUAAGCUAUGUAGGUUGCUCAAAAAGUUUGUUUUUGCUCCUGUUUAUUUCCAUUGAAAAUAUAACAAAGAGCACAGUAACACUAUUUGAUAGAACAAAUUCUCAGCUACAGAACACUAUUUUUCAACAUAGUCACCACUGUUAGCUACGCAUUUUUGCCAGCAAUGAACAAGAGCCUGCUUUCUGCGCUUGGAAAAAUCUGCGUGGCCAUCUGAAACAUGGCUUGGCUUUCACACUGCUGUCACCACUGCUGAAAUGCACCACCUACAGCCUCCUCAUGCUCACAUCCACUGCUUGGUCUUCAGAAAUAUUCAGGACACCUUACCCCUCUGAGCAAGAGGUGCUGGGCUGGUGCCAAGCCCAGGGAAAGCCAGCAAAGUCCCUGCGAGCAGCAGCAAAGCUGAAAGUUGUCUCGGAGGAAAUUGCUAGACCAAGACAGGGAUUUGUUCCUGCUUUAUGUUCGUGUUCAGCCUGGGAAGCUGAAGUCUUCCAAGGAAGCAACCAAGUAUCAGCAAGCAGAUUCUGUUCCUUACUCCUGAGAAGCUAAAUCCGAAGAAAGAAAGACAAGAUUUUCUUCUGAGAUGUGGUGUGACUACAGGUUCUGCUAUUUGUUUAUGAUGUUCCACCAGUUUACAUAGUCACAGCUGCUUAUUUAGUACAUAGGUAAUCCUGUAGCAAAAUAAUGUUAACACAGUCAUUCUUAUGACACUUCUGGGUCUGGUAUUAAGGAUACCAACAGAGGAGUGAGGGUAUCCCCGUGCUUCUUGGUCUUUGCCUGCCACUGAGCUCCACAGUGCCAGAAGAGUUCAGCUGCCUUAGGUGAUGACAAUAAGGAAAGAACAUUUACUGCAGGUUGUAGGUACUCAUCUAAGCACUAUGUGGUGUGCUGUAAUUGCAGGCUGCAUUAGGUCAUGCUUUGUCACAAGGCUUAUUCCAAACAGAAGUCGCUUCCAUUGGAUUGUCCUUGCAGCAGCAACGUAAAUGAACAAGCUUGGGCAGCUUUGCCAGAAAUGUCUAAAACUAAAUAAUUAGUCAACAGCCAUUCAUGCAGCAUAUGACAGAAGUGCUAUUAUUGUCAGGGAGAGUACGGAGCCUGUGACUACAACUCACCACUCAAUCUGAACAGUUAGUUGAACAUAACACGCUUGUAAUAAUAUUUAAAGCUUAAUAUCUGAUGCGUGUAUGAGAGUCCAAAUUCACAUGACAUACAAGAAAAAAACAACGACUGGUACAUUAGAGACAUGAAUUCCUUUUAAGUUAGCUAAGGAAAUUGGCAGGUAGUUCUUAAGAACUUGUUUGUAUACAAAUCCCUUUCUGCUGCUGGAAAUCCAGCAGCAAUGUUCAAACUUUAGGCAAAAGUGCUCACAAGCUGCCUACAGACCUGUAGUCCUCAGGUAAUAAAGGAGGGGGAAAGAGCCCUCACUUAUUCCAAGUGCUCUGCAGCAUUUUGAGAAGAAAAACGAAUGUGAAUCCUAGGGAUAGUGGGCCACAGUGCUGAUACAGCAUGCCCUACAGAAGUAAGUUGGGUGCAAGGCCAUGAUGAUGCAGCUACGCUGUCAUGGGUUCCAGACACACUCCCUUUGCAGUUAGCUGAGACAGUUAGCUGGACUGUUUUCCACUGCCCAGUGUACAAAAUGCCCAAUGUUUGUAUAGCCCUUAGCAAAAUAGGACCCUAUUCUUGAUUGGCCUCAAAACAGCACAGUGAUUCUAAUUAUAAAUACCAGGGAAAUAAAUGAUCACAGAAGGCAUUUGAUGUAUUUUUUCCAGCAUGCAACAGCAGUACCAAUACGUACAAGAGCACAAUGCAAUCAGAUUCUGAUGUAUGCAAUAUAUUUUUAACACAAUGGACUUCAUCCAGACUUUUCUGGCACCAUCUUCUAUUGUCUUUCAUCACUUUGCAGUGAAGUCAUGUAGGGUACUCCAGACUUGAGGUGGCUGUGGUCUAGUGCUGAGAUUAAUGCUGAAUAAAAAUCAAGUUAGUUAGUAGAGCUUAAAUAACUGUUAGGCAAAUGAAUAUUUGUUUGUGUAAAGAAACAACUGCUGAAUAGAUGAAGUAAGUCAUUUUUGUCUCUGUCUUCCUAUAGUGUGCUGCAAAAUAAACGCAGAUCUGAGAGAGAGACCCACUUCUGCUGCUGCCCACUCCUUUCUACUUUAAUAUUGUAAAUAAAUGAUUUGGAAAAAAACAAUAUCAUAAAAUAAUAAUAAUUAGAAUUCCACUGAUGUCCCUUUUAUGAUAAUAUAUUUGAGUUGUUCUUCAAAAAUCAAAUGAAGAAACUUCAGCCACAGUAGAGGUCUUAACCAAAAUUAAAGUCUUGUACUGAAAAUAUCAGCAUUUCUUAUGAGCUCACCUGGAGGGAGAUUAUGGGGCAACAAGUAAUGAGAUGGGUAAAGGACUGCUAUUCUUACUUCAUUUGGCCAAGAUCUACUCAACAUCUUGGAUUGUCCUCGUUUUUGUUGUGUAUUAAAAUGGUGCUAAGUGAGCUCAAGCAGGGCUUGGUGUUACAGACACUGUGAGACUGUCUCCUGGCAUUUUACAGUCAGAGGAGGAGUAGAGAGAAAGGAAUGAACUGGAGAGAACUUUUACAAUGCUCAUAAAACUGAUGUUAGAUCUGUGGGUGGCAUUUGCUGACAGCAUAGUCUGAAGGGACAAACAAACCAAAGGCAGAAGUGGUGAGGAAGGGAAAUGAAGAGAAAAAAAAGAGCAAGGAUGGAAAGAAGGAAACACAUGGUAGGCAAUGAAGUAAAGGUGAAGUGGCUGUGAAUAGCUAAUCACUGAAAAGAAAACAGUGUUGAAAGUAGAAGUACAUGGGAAAAAGCAGCACACAGAUAGAAUCAGUGAGUUGCUGAUAAUUCUUAGUCAAGCUGCUUUGGUUGCUUCACAUGCCAGCCUUGAGCUUCAGGCAGAAGAACAAUUGACUGUUACGACAGUCUGGAUUUAGUUCAAGGUGAAUUACGUGUGCAAUUUCAGGAUAAUUUAUCUUCGCCUGCCUUAAAAUCCAAAAGAAAGACACCGCCAACUUUUGUUCUAGCUUAACUAUUAAUUCUAUUGAUAAAAUUUUGUUAGUCAUCUUCAGAUUUAAAAAAAAAUCCAUGCAGUCAUAAUUAGAAUUCUAUGUAUAUAGAUACGAUUUACUAGGCACUCUUCUGACACAGGGAAAAUGAUACCAUUCCCCUAAACAUCAAAGAGAUUAAGACAGACAGCUCUUGGCAGAGGCCAACAGAAGGAGCAGCAAAGUAGGAGUAAGAUUUUUUCUCGUAUAACUGUGCCAGGAAGGAAAUCUUUCAGUGUUAAAGUUCAUAGAUUUGGUGAGCUUGCAAAGGGGGCUACAUGGGAAGAUGUUGUUUGACAUCGUAAGCCUCUUGUCUGGACCUACUAACACAUUCUCCUCCCUGGAGUUGAAGAAUCCAGGUCACCUUGUAAGUAGGCAAACUGCUGCUGCAGAAGUUUCUCCUUAGGUUGUUACAUCAGUAUCUCACCUUUUGCUUGCCAAGCUUGUUUAGUACCGCGGCAGGAGUCUUCUGAAAGAGACUGCUGUGCAUCUUUGAGGACAAUGUUAAAAUUAAGCAAAUGAUGCCAGAGGUUUGUGUUUUGCUCUCUGCUGCCAUGAAUGAUCAGCAUGGGCAUAUGAUAAAGGGUAACCACUUAUUUGUGUGAGUGACUGAAAGCAGUUUUGCCAACGGGGAUGUUUGGAACAGCAUUUAAUCUGAAAAGAUAAUUAAUGUCUUCUUUGUUGUGCAACAGAAGCCUAUGGAAAGAGAAUCAUAUUGCAUCAUAUCUCUCAAUAACAUACAACUGGGUGGCUGAAAUUGGGUUUAACUAGACAGACAAAAAUAACUUCGGGAGGAGCAGAGAAAGGUUAUGGGUCAUGUGAUGCUGAUUUGUUUGUUUAAAGUUGACCUAUCCCUGCAGCAGAGAGUUUAAUGGGUUCCAGUAAGGACUUGCACCCAGCAUGCAGAGCUGCAAUUACUGUGGGAUGGUUCGAAGUCUGUGUGUGUGUGUGAGGCCUGGGUCAUGUCUGUUCGUGGGGGCAGCAGUAGCUUUCGCAAAGACUACAGAUCAGACUUCCUGAGCAUCCUUCCACUGCCCUGUGAUUGACAAUCAAUAAAAAGAGACAUGAGAUACCCUGGGUGAAAAACAGGGCAUCUGAGAUUUCACUGAAGUUGUUCAAACUUGCAAGUAGAAAAAGAAAAGGAGUUUGUUG
ensembl:lncRNA